UACGUAGGGCGCAAGCGUUAUCCGGAAUUAUUGGGCGUAAAGAGCUCGUAGGCGGUUUGUCGCGUCUGCCGUGAAAGUCCGGGGCUCAACUCCGGAUCUGCGGUGGGUACGGGCAGACUAGAGUGAUGUAGGGGAGACUGGAAUUCCUGGUGUAGCGGUGAAAUGCGCAGAUAUCAGGAGGAACACCGGUGGCGAAGGCGGUUCUCUGGGCAUUACCUGACGCUGAGACGCGAAAGCUAGGGGAGCGAACAGG
rnacentral:rRNA from 1 species